CCGCAGUCAGUUAAGCCGACCGGCCUCUGUACAGUCGAGGCUAGGUGUGCAAGGGCUGCGAACAGUAACUCACUGGUAGUGUACGCGGCCGGCUGCUCUCCGUGCAGGUCGCAUGAAGGGUCCGGUGAAACAUUC